rnacentral:tRNA from 1 species
GGAGAGGUGGCUGAGUGGUUGAAGGCACCUGACUCGAAAUCAGACGUGGGGGUAACUCCACCGAGGGUUCGAAUCCCUCCCUCUCCGCCA